CCCGGCCCGGCAGCCCGCGCGCGGCGGGCGGAAGGCUUGGUGUGGCCGAGGCCCCGUGCGCCGGUAGAUCCGGGACGAGCGGCCCGGCCCCGAGAGCCUACGGGACAGACAGAGGGACGUUUUCAGUGCGCAUGUGGGUGGGAUCCUGCAGCCCGCAGGAGAAGGGGCAAAGGGUGCAGAGUGAAAGAGGAAUAGGUUUAGACUGGAUAGGAGGAGCUUGAAAGAUAGAUCUUUACUGUAAGGGUGGCGAGACGCUGAAGAGAUUUCCCAGAGAAGUUGUGGGUGCCGCACUCCUGAAAGUGUUCCAGGCCAGGCUGAAUGGGGUUUUGAACAACCUCGUGUACUGGGAGGUGUCCCUGCCCAUGGAAGAUGGCUGGAACUAGAGGAUCUUUAAGGUCUCUUCCAAUGCAAGCAGUUCUAUGAAUCCGUGAAAUCCAGGUGUUUCAAUGUUACUGAGUUCCAUCGAGCAGGGAGAAAAAUAUAGACAAGAAACCACUUCAGACUGAGCAUGCCAUGUUGCUGCCAUCUCCCCUUCCUCUUCAGAGUCUUAACCACUUCUUUCUGUCACAACUCAAAUUUAUUUUACAGGCUUAUAUUUCCUCCAGGAAAAGACUGAACAAUUAUUUGAAAAAGUCAGAAGAAAAACAUUCAUCUCCAUCA